GAAAUGCGAUACGUAAUGUGAAUUGCAGAAUUCAGUGAAUCAUCGAAUCUUUGAACGCAUAUUGCGCUCUUUGGUAUUCCGAAGAGCAUGCUUGUUUGAGUAUCAGUAAACACCUCAAAGCCUUCAAUUCAGUUUGGAAGCUUUGGACUUGAGCAAUCCCAACACCAGUCUCGCGACUGGCGGAGGGCUGCUUGAAAUGCAGGUGCAGCUGGACAUUCUCCUGAGCUAUAAGCAUAUUUAUUUAGUCCCGUCAAACGGAUUAUUACUUUUGCUGCAGCUAACAUAAAGGGAGUCUGACCGCAUUGGCUGACUGAUGCAGGAUUUCACAAGGGCUGGCAACAGCUUUCUUGUAAAACUCGAUCUCAAAUCAAGUAAGACUACCCGCUGAACUUAA
rnacentral:misc_RNA from 1 species